rnacentral:rRNA from 1 species
UACGUAGGGUGCAAGCGUUGUCCGGAAUUAUUGGGCGUAGAGAGCUCGUAGGCGGUUCGUCGCGUCGGCUGUGAAAUCCCGGAGCUCAACUCCGGGUCUGCAGUCGAUACGGGCGGACUUGAGUUCGGCAGGGGAGACUGGAAUUCCUGGUGUAGCGGUGAAAUGCGCAGAUAUCAGGAGGAACACCGGUGGCGAAGGCGGGUCUCUGGGCCGAUACUGACGCUGAGGAGCGAAAGCGUGGGGAGCGAACAGG